rnacentral:lncRNA from 1 species
AUUGGAAUGAGAGAGUCAUUUGCUUGUUUUCUCAGCAAGUAUUUAUUGAGCACCUAUUAGAUGCUGGGUGGUGGGACACAAUGAUGAGCGAGUCCAAAGUGGUCCUGCCUCCUCAGGUGGCCAGUCUAGUGGAAGGAACAAGGGAUAUGUCUAUUAAGUAACUUAUAUGACAUAAUGCAGUUAGCAUUACAAUAGAAGUAGAAGCCUCGGCCCCUCUCAGAGCUCUGGAAACCUUCCCCUCCAUCUACUCCGGCAGCAUGGGAAGUUCACGGGGGCCACAGUUGGCACCAAGUGUUUUCCACUCUUUGCUUCUGAGGGCCAAGAUGCCAUGGAAGGGUGUCCAGGGGCUUUGACCGAUGAGCACGGGGAGUUUUGGAGGAGGGCUGGAGGUGGCGGGUUCAGAUGAAUUCUACUAAUUGCUUGGCUGUAGGAACCAAACCUUGUCGGCCUGCAGCUCAAACAAGAGAACAAGCAAGAUGAGAUCCUCUGCCCUCCUGGUGUUUUUUUGUUCUCGUGGGGAGAAAGUGUAUUAAAAUAUGAGUUACUGCAUCAGACAUAUAAAAUAAUAAUUUCAAGAAAAUGGAUCUGUGAUUGUAAAUAUUGGGUCAAAUUUAGCAUCAGAGUAAACAAAUAAAUGGAUAUUAUGUCACAAUCAGGGCAGACUGUAAUUAAAUGACUUUCUAGGGUGCGGCUGCAUCCCCAUGAAGCUCAGACCCCAUUGUUGC